CAGCCGCCGCGGUAAUACGAAGGGGGCUAGCGUUGCUCGGAAUGACUGGGCGUAAAGGGCGCGUAGGCGGCGGCCAAAGUCAGGCGUGAAAUUCCUGGGCUCAACCUUGGGGCUGCGCUUGAUACUUGGUUGCUUGAGUGGGGAAGAGGGUCGUGGAAUUCCCAGUGUAGAGGUGAAAUUCGUAGAUAUUGGGAAGAACACCGGUGGCGAAGGCGGCGACCUGGUUCAUGACUGACGCUGAGGCGCGAAAGCGUGGGGAGCAAACAGGAUUAGAUACCCCCGUAGUCCCUGUCUCUUAUAC
rnacentral:rRNA from 1 species